rnacentral:rRNA from 1 species
UGCUCCUUGGGUGACGAGUGGCGGACGGGUGAGUAAUGUCUGGGAAACUGCCCGAUGGAGGGGGAUAACUACUGGAAACGGUAUCUAAUACCGCAUAACGUCGCAAGACCAAAGUGGGGGACCUUCGGGCCUCACACCAUCAGAUGUGCCCAGAUGGGAUUAGCUAGUAUGUGGGGUAAUGGCUCACCUACGCGACUAUCCCUAUCUGGUCUGAGAGGAUGACCAGCCACACUGGAACUGACACACGGUCCACACUCCUACGGGAGGCAGCUGUGGGGAAUAUUGCACAGUGGGCGCACGCCUGAUGCACCCGUGCCGCGUGUAUGAAAAACGCCUUCGGGUUGUAAAGUACUUUCAGUGGGGAGGAAGGCGUUAAUGUUAAUAGCCUUGGCGAUUGACGUUACCCGCAGAAGACGCACCGGCUAACUCCGUGCCAGCAGCCGCGGUAAUACAGAGGGUGCACGCGUUAAUCAGAAUUACUGGGCGUAAAGCGCACGCACGCGGUCUGUCAUGUCAGAUGUGAAAUCCCCGGGCUCAACCUGGGAACUGCAUUCGAAACUGGCACGCUAGACUCUUGUAGAGGGGGGUAGAAUUCCGUGUGUAGCGGUGAAAUGCGUAGAUAUCUGGAAGAAUAC